rnacentral:piRNA from 1 species
UGUGAGAUAUGUUUGACGGGAAAACAAAAG